rnacentral:rRNA from 1 species
AGAGUUUGAUCCUGGCUCAGGAUGAACGCUGGCGGCGUGCUUAACACAUGCAAGUCGAACGAAGCAUUUGCGACAGAUUUUUUCGGAAUGAAGUUGCUUAUGACUGAGUGGCGGACGGGUGAGUAACGCGUAUCCAACCUACCCUUGUCCAUCGGAUAACCCGUCGAAAGGCGGCCUAAUACGAUAUGCGGUUCACAGCAGGCAUCUAACGUGAACGAAAUGUGAAGGAGAAGGAUGGGGAUGCGUCUGAUUAGCUUGUUGGCGGGGUAACGGCCCACCAAGGCAACGAUCAGUAGGGGUUCUGAGAGGAAGGUCCCCCACAUUGGAACUGAGACACGGUCCAA